GUCUUCUGGCUUCCAGAACUGUGAGACGAUAUAUUUCUGUGGUUCUAAGCCACCCAGUUUGUGGUACUUUGUUCUGGCAACCCUAGCAAAGAAUACAGAGGGACUAAAAGGAGGUCCACGGAUGCGCUGCUGAAACCAGGAAUCCAGGGCAGGCCCGAUCUCUCCUGUUCCGACUACAGAUGUGCUCCUCCUUCAGGAAGAAAUCCUGCUUUUGCCAGAAUGUACUCUUGUCUCUCCUUCUGGCCCUUUGGGCUCAAGGUUUCCACUGCUGUGAUUUCAUGCAGAACAAAGAGGGAGCACCUCAACCUGGCUGUCAAGCCCUUCAUCCAUUCACCGAUGUAUUCAUUCAGCAAGCGACUGACAGCCGCCUAUCAGGAGAGAGGUGAGUUCUGCUCACGGGGAACAUCCCCUUCUUUUUCCCUGGGAAAAUCUGCAACCCAAGCACCUAUCUUCCAGAAGACCCACCUCCUUCUCGUCUCCCCUAGUUGUGAGCCCUUGUCCCGGCUGUCACGGCCGUUUAUCACACUCAUCUCCAGUCCUAGCUCAGCUUGCCCACGUCCAGCUCAAAUCCUCCUUUUCCACGAAGUCUUCCCCCCAGACUCCACGAACUUGUGUGGUUCAUCUCUGUUCUGCCUUCACCUCUCGCUUACCUCCGACUGUGGCCCUCACCAACAUCUGUCUGAGGUCUUAG